UUUAGUACCCAUUAGACUUAAAUUUAGAACUAAAUUAACUAUUAAGGUAUUAUUGAACAGCUUUAUUUACUGGUAUGAUCUCUAUAGUUCAUCUCAAAGAUACACACCUUGGGAAUUUAACUAGCAUACAUACACAUGAGUAGCAGUCAAACUAAAUUCUGAGUAUGACCAAACGUGAAGGGUGAGAAAGUACAUAAUUUGUGUAUCAGUUUAAAAUCUUAUAAGUUUAAGGUAUAUAAUUGUUGAAAAUAUGCUGCACAGACUUACGUUUUGACCUUUCAAAAAAAUAAAAGUGCUAAUGAACUUUCCAUUCUUGGAUACAAAUUCGUACGAAACUUCAGUGUAAAAAUGGUACAGUUAAAGCUGUAAAAGAAGCUGAGAAAUCACACUGU
rnacentral:lncRNA from 1 species